rnacentral:rRNA from 1 species
GAUGAACGCUGACAGAAUGCUUAACACAACAAGUCAACUUGAAUUUGGGUUUUUAACUUAGAUUGGGUGGCGGACGGGUAAGUAACGCGUAAAGAACUUGCCUCACAGCUAGGGACAACAUUUAGAAAUGAAUGCUAAUACCUGAUAUUAUGAUUUUAAGGCAUCUUAGAAUUAUGAAAGCUAUAUGCAGUGUGAGAGAGCUUUGCGUCCCAUUAGCUAGUUGGAGAGGUAACAGCUCACCAAGGCGAUGAUGGGUAGCCGCCCUCAGAGGGUGAACGCCCACAAGGGGAGUGAGACACGGCCCUUACUCCUCCGGGAGGCAGCAGUGGGGAAUAUUGGACAACGGACGGAGAGUCCGAUCCAGCAAUUCUGUGUGCACGAUGAAGUUUUUUGGAAUGUAAAGUGCUUUCAGUUGGGAAGAAAGAAAUGACGGUCCCAACAGAAGAAGAGAGGGCUAAAUACGUGCCAGCAGCCGCGGUAAUAGGUAUGUCCCAAGCGUUUUCCGGAUUUAUUGGGGGUAAAGCGGGUCUAGGUGGUUAUGUAAUUUUGAUGUGAAAAUGCAGGGCUCAACUCGGUAUUGCGUUGGAAACUGUUUAUCUAGAGUACUGGAGAGGUAAGCGGAAUUCCAAGUGUAGAGGUGAAAUUCGUAGAUAUUUGUAGGAACGCCGAUGGGGAAGCCAGCUUACUGGACAGAUACUGACGCUAAAGCUCGAAAGCGUGGGUAGCAAACAGG